GCCUUCAUGGUCUAGUGGUAAGAUACCUGCUUUGGGUGAAUCCUAUGCAGGUGAUCCUCGGUUCGAACCCGGGUGGAGGCC